GUGCUCCCUUCAGCAGCACAUAUACUAAAAUUGGAACCUACAGAGAUUAGAAUGUACCCUGUGCAACGAUGACAUGAAAAUUCGUGAAUUGUUGAUGCCAGGGUUCU